GACGAACGCUGGCGGCGUGCCUAAUACAUGCAAGUAGAACGCUGAAGGAGUAGCUUGCUUCUCUGGAUGAGUUGCGAACGGGUGAGUAACGCGUAGGUAACCUGCCUGGUAGCUGGGGAUAACUAUUGGAAACGAUAGCUAAUACCGCAUAAUAGUAGAUGUUGCAUGACAUUUGCUUAAAAGUUGCAAUUGCAUCACUACCAGAUGGACCUGCGUUGUAUUAGCUAGUUGGUGGGGUAACGGCUCACCAAGGCGGAGAUACAUAGCCGACCUGAGAGGGGGAACGGCCACACUGGGAACGGGACACGGCCCAGACGUCUAAGGGAAGCAGGAGUAGGGAAUCUUCGGAAAUGGACGGAAGUCUGAACGAGGAACGCCGCGUGAGGGAAGAAGGUUUUCGGAUCGGAAAGGUCUGUUGUAAGAGAAGAAAGAGUGUGAGAGUGGAAAGUUCACACUGUGACGGUAUCUUAACAGAAAGGGACGGCUAACUACGUG
rnacentral:rRNA from 1 species